UACGAAGGGGGCUAGCGUUGCUCGGAAUCACUGGGCGUAAAGGGCGCGUAGGCGGCGUUUUAAGUCGGGGGUGAAAGCCUGUGGCUCAACCACAGAAUUGCCUUCGAUACUGGGACGCUUGAGUGUGGUAGAGGUUGGUGGAACUGCGAGUGUAGAGGUGAAAUUCGUAGAUAUUCGCAAGAACACCGGUGGCGAAGGCGGCCAACUGGACCAUCACUGACGCUGAGGCGCGAAAGCGUGGGGAGCAAACAG
rnacentral:rRNA from 1 species